AAAAAAAGCGCGAGAGGGAGAGGGAGAGAUUGCCAGAAUUAGAGUUAGUGAGUGAGUGAGUGAGUGAGUGAGUGAGAGAGAGAGAGAGUUGUGUAAGGCCACGUCGCUGUGCCAGAGAAGGAAAAUGGACUUUGUUGAGGAACCUUAAGACGCGAGAGUGAGGAGGUUUAAAAUUAUAACCGGAGAUCGAAGGAACGUUGACCUUCUCUUCUAUUUUUAGAAUUCAAGCAUCCACAAAGAUACGACAACAGAGGGGUAAAAGCGAUCAUGCAAUAGUGUACUUCCAGUACACAUUAGGAAGUGCUCCCGAACAGAGAUUAUCCAUGCAGGAUCUCGUCAAAUCCAAGACCAGAAAGGAAGUGAAUCCGGGACUAAGAAGGAUGACCCGAGAUGAAGAAGUUAUUGGGCCUCACGGGCAAGGAAAGGCUCAGCCUUAGAAUUCUGCCCCAAGAAGAAGCCCAUACCAUGGUAUGGAUUGGCCCACGCAUGCACAAGAAGAAGUUUCCGCACGUGGGUGGGAUUUUUGCCUACCUAAAGGAGCACUCAGGGCAUAUAAAGGAGUAAGGGUAGGCAGCAAGAGCGUGCACGUGCAUGCACAUGCCUCAACUUGCCACAUGUACAAGAACGCACAUGUGCGAGCAAAGCUAGCUGUGUGUGUACCUCAACCGCGCGCGCAUGGAGGCUUUUGUGCAAGCCCAAAAGCGCGUGACCAAAAAGCCUGCGUGGCAGUUGCUUGCGGACAGCCUGUCAAUUGCCUUCAGUCCAAUAUAGA